GAUAGGCUACCUCCCCUAUCCCCUCCAAAAUCUGAUAAGGACCAAUAAAUCGAGGUGUCAACUUUUUCGACUUCAAAGCUCGCCCAACACCAGUUAUCGGAGUAACACGAAGAAACACAUGAUCUCCCUCUUGAAACUCAAGUGACUUCCUCCUCUUAUCAUGAUAACUCUUCUGACGACUCUGAGCAAUUCUCAUCUUCUCCUGAAUCAUCUUAAUCUUUUCCGUAGUCUGUUGAACAAUCUCCGGUCCAACCACAGCACUCUCACCGGACUCAUACCAACA
rnacentral:lncRNA from 1 species